UUUCUUCUAAUUUUUUUCCUUUCUUUUUCUCUUCAAAACCUACACCUAAGUUCUCUUCCAAAUCCAUGCCAACCCAAUUGGAACACCCCUUAUUUACAAGAAACCAAGGGGCGCAGAAUACGAACACUUCCUUUGGUGCAACAUAUUCUCAUAUGGGACCAAAUAUUUUGGUUUCUGUGUGAGAUUAAUUCUCUGUGGAAACAAAAGGGUGUGGAAGAGACUUAAAAUAGAAGGACUCUUCCUUUCUG
rnacentral:lncRNA from 1 species